ensembl:lncRNA
CCAGUUGCCACGGGUGCAUAAAAUGUGACGCAAUGUGCCUCCGCCAGACUUAAUAUUGUGAACGAACGCCGCGCGCGAGCAAACUGUUCGCUCAUUGGUCCGAUGGUCACGCGUCUAUAAAUAGGCUCCGUUCCGUUUAGCUUUUACAGGUGAGGGGGCUCGGGCCUGCAUGAACCCGGCCCUGCUGUAGAAGGCGGUUUGUGGCCUAAACAGUUUCCAUAGGCGGCCGAAUAAACACUCUCCUCGCCUGUGAAGACCCAACGAUGUCCCGAGGACACGGACGGAGGUGGGGGGAGGUGCAGGAAGCGGACUCCUCGUCGCUCUCCUUCUUGAAGCAGGACGGCUGGAGACAGAUGGAAAAGGCCCGCUGACACUAAUCCGCUGUAUGAGACCAGGAAGGGACGUGAGAGAGACGGAUAGAAGACGAGCAUGUGACAUAGAGAGUGAUGGUGAGCUACAGAGACACGGACUGGGACACAAGGCCCGUCUUUGUCUAUCAAACCGGAUCCACGCGGAGGCCUGAGAGGAAUUCAGGCUGGCGGCCCGGCCCUUCAUGUCCGCUGCGAGGCGGCAGAACAGUUCCUGAAAGACGUCAGUAAGCAGGACGCGGUCCCAACGUGUGCUCGCAUGGAUCCCGGCCGAGAAUUCCUACUUUAAGACGUUAAUUUUUCCUCAUGACGGCUCUUUUACCAACGUUGACCUGUUGCCAGGUUGGUCCUAUGUUACAGACUGAAAGUACAUGGUGCCCCAAGAGGUUUAAGACCUGGAUUGGUAAUUUGGAGCACACACAUUCAUGGCAAAAGAAAAGAAAUUGAGGCCUUAAAAUGUGUUCGAACUGCUCCUCUCUGACGAGUGGAAGCCGACGAGCGCUGCUGCAGAUCUGUAUGAAAUCAGGAGCACAUUUUGGAUGAGAUGUCGCUUGAGGACUCGUUGAACUCUUACAUCAUCUCAACCAGAGGGUGCCGGGCCGGAGAGAUCGCGGCCUCCAGGCCGAAGUUGCUCCACUGGAAGCAGAACGCACCCUGUUUGCAUUCGUAAUACACUCCUCUUAA